rnacentral:snRNA from 1 species
AUACUUACCUGGCAGGGGAGAUACCAUGAUCACGAAGGUGGUUUUCCCAGGGCGAGGCUUAUCCAUUGCACUCCGGAUGUGCUGACCCCUGCGAUUUCCCCAAAUGUGGGAAACUCGACUGCAUAAUUUGUGGUAGUGGGGGACUGCAUUCGCGCUCUCCCAUG